GAGAAAAGCAGGGGAUCGCAAGACCUUGCGCUUUUUGAGCGGCCGAUGCCUGAUUAGCUAGUUGGUAAGGUAAAGGCUUACCAAGGCAACGAUCAGUAGCUGGUCUGAGAGGACGACCAGCCACACUGGGACUGAGACACGGCCCAGACUCCUACGGGAGGCAGCAGUGGGGAAUUUUGGACAAUGGGCGAAAGCCUGAUCCAGCCAUGCCGCGUGAGUGAAGAAGGCCUUCGGGUUGUAAAGCUCUUUCGGUCGGGAAGAAAUAGUUGUGGCUAAUAUCCACAAUGAAUGACGGUACCGACAUAAGAAGCACCGGCUAACUACGUGCCAGCAGCCGCGGUAAUACGUAGGGUGCAAGCGUUAAUCGGAAUUAUUGGGCGUAAAGGGUGCGCAGGCGGUUGUAUAAGUCA
rnacentral:rRNA from 1 species